rnacentral:rRNA from 1 species
UGGGGGAUUUUGGACAAUGGGCGCAAGCCUGAUCCAGCAAUGCCGCGUGCAGGAUGAAGGCCUUCGGGUUGUAAACUGCUUUUGUACGGAGCGAAAAGGUCUGCCCUAAUACGGUGGGCUCAUGACGGUACCGUAAGAAUAAGCACCGGCUAACUACGUGCCAGCAGCCGCGGUAAUACGUAAGGUGCGAGCGUUAAUCGGAAUUACUGGGCGUAAAGCGUGCGCAGGCGGUUAUAUAAGACAGAGGUGAAAUCCCCGGGCUCAACCUGGGAACUGCCUUUGUGACUGCAUAGCUAGAGUACGGUAGAGGGGGAUGGAAUUCCGCGUGUAGCAGUGAAAUGCGUAGAUAUGCGGAGGAACACCGAUGGCGAAGGCAAUCCCCUGGACCUGUACAGACGCUCAUGCACGAAAGCGUGGGGAGCAAACA